rnacentral:rRNA from 1 species
AACGAACGCGGGCGGCAUGCCUAACACAUGCAAGUCGAACGAGACCUUCGGGUCUAGUUGCGCACGGGUGCGUAACGCGUGGGAACCGGCCCUUAGGUUCGGAAUAACUCCCCGAAAGGGGUGCUAAUACCGGAUAAUGUCUUCGGACCAAAGAUUUAUCGCCUUUGGAUGGGCCCGCGUUGUAUUAGCUAGUUGGUAGGGUAAAAGCCUACCAAGGCGACGAUCCAUAGCUGGUCUGAGAGGAUGAUCAGCCACACUGGGACUGAGACACGGCCCAGACUCCUACGGGAGGAAGCAGUGGGGAAUAUUGGACCAUGGGCGACAGCCUGAUCCAGCCAUGCCGCGUGAGUGAUGCAGGCCUUAGGGUUGUAAAGCUCUUUUACCCGGGAUGAUAAUGACAGUACCGGGAGAAUAAGCUCCGGCUAACUCCGUG